rnacentral:rRNA from 1 species
GACGAACGCUGGCGGCGUGCCUAAUACAUGCAAGUAGAACGCUGAAGGAGGAGCUUGCUUCUCUGGAUGAGUUGCGAACGGGUGAGUAACGCGUAGGUAACCUGCCUGGUAGCGGGGGAUAACUAUUGGAAACGAUAGCUAAUACCGCAUAAGAGUAGAUGUUGCAUGACAUUUGCUUAAAAGGUGCAAUUGCAUCACUUCCAGAUGGACCUGCGUUGUAUUAGCUAGUUGGUGGGGUAACGGCUUACCAAGGCGACGAUACAUAGCCGACCUGAGAGGGGGAUCGGCCACACUGGGACUGAGACACGGCCCAGACUCCUACGGGAGGCAGCAGUAGGGAAUCUUCGGCAAUGGACGGAAGUCUGACCGAGCAACGCCGCGUGAGUGAAGAAGGUUUUCGGAUCGUAAAGCUCUGUUGUAAGAGAAGAACGAGUGUGAGAGUGGAAAGUUCACACUGUGACGGUAUCUUACCAGAAAGGGACGGCUAACUACGUG